rnacentral:misc_RNA from 1 species
GAAAUGCGAUAAGUAAUGUGAAUUGCAGAAUUCAGUGAAUCAUCGAAUCUUUGAACGCACAUUGCGCCCGCCAGUAUUCUGGCGGGCAUGCCUGUUCGAGCGUCAUUUCAACCAUCAAGCCCCCGGCUUGUGUUGGGGACCUGCGGCUGCCCGCAGGCCCUGAAAAACAGUGGCGGGCUCGCCGUCACACCGAGCGUAGUAGCAUACAUUCUCGCUCAGGGCGUGCUGCGGGUUCCGGCCGUUAAACGACCUUCAUAACCCAAGGUUGACCUCGGAUCAGGUAGGAAGACCCGCUGAACUUAAGC